AUGGCCAACUUCGCCGUCCAGCUCAAGGAUAGGUUUUUCGGCCUUGUCGACCGGGUCGCCGGCUGCGGCCGCGCCGGGGUCAGGGAGGAGGGCCCCCAAGUCGGCGCCGGCGCCGGCCGUGCAGGAGCACGUCGAGAUUCGACCGAGAGGCCCCAAUGUGUCAGGAGGAUCGGAGGCGGGAGUCAAUUAGACAGUGUGGAUGCUACUCGUUUGUUACUGUCUGCUGAUGUCUGGAGUGUUAUCGCUUCGUUUCAGAUUCACGUGCCUUCCCUUGUUCUGAAAGUUGAAACAAAUGCUUUCCUUGCUGGUGUUCUGAAUGCGUGA
rnacentral:rRNA from 1 species